rnacentral:rRNA from 1 species
AACGAACGCUGGCGGCGUGCCUAACACAUGCAAGUCGAACGGGAAAACCCGCAAGGGUGAGUACAGUGGCGCACGGGUGCGUAACACGUGGGUAAUCUGCCCAGAAGCCCGGAAUAACUCCCCGAAAGGGGUGCUAAUGCCGGAUGAGACCACGGGGACUUCGGUUCCUGGGGGAAAAGGUGGCCUCUGUAUACAAGCUAUCACUUCUGGAUGAGCCCGCGGCCCAUCAGCUAGUUGGCGGGGUAAUGGCCCACCAAGGCUACGACGGGUAGCUGGUCUGAGAGGACGAUCAGCCACACUGGAACUGAGACACUGUCCAGACUCCUACGGGAGGCAGCAGUGGGGAAUCUUGCGCAAUGGGCGAAAGCCUGACGCAGCAACGCCGCGUGUGUGAUGAAGGUCUUCGGAUCGUAAAGCACUGUCGGGAUGGACGAAUAAGGGCCGGGUGAACAAUCCGGUUCGACGACGGUACCUCCAGAGGAAGCACCGGCUAACUCUGUGCCAGCAGCCGCAGUAACAC